UUGUGAGAGCAGGUAUCUACCCUUCGUAGCUUUAUGCGAAGAAGGGAGGAAAGUCUGGACAUCAUGAGGAAAGCACAGAAGAUAACGACUUCGGUUUAAGUAUAUAAUAAAUAAAACUUGAAUACCACUAGUGCCACAGAAACUAUACUAUCCCGCUUUAGCGGGAGAAAGAUGAAAAGUCAUUUGGUGUUUAUUAUAUUUACUGCAUUGUUUACAGUGUGUGAAUAUAAUCAAGCUACAGAUGAUUACACUACGGUGUGAUGGUAAACUGUGUGUGAUGCAAUGGGAAUGGUCGCGCAUUAAAGUUAAUACCUCUAUUGCUAUAAUGCGGGAUACUCAGCUCGAGCCUAUGAGUGAUUGUAGGCCUAGAUAGAUUGAUACCUAGAUACAGAAUCCGGCUUAUUACUCUCACAAAAUA
rnacentral:RNase_P_RNA from 2 species